GAUGAACGCUGGCGGCGUGCCUUAUACAUGCAAGUCGAGCGGACGGACGAGCUUCUUGCUUCUCUGAUGUUAGCAGCGGACGGGUGAUUCAUACGUGGAUACCCUAUCUUUAAGACUGGCUUAACUUCAGUCAACUUGAUCUCAUACCGGAUUAUAUUUUGAACCGCAUGGUUCUACAGUCCACGCCCUUCUUGCUGUCCCUUAUAUAUGUAUCCGCGCUGCAUUAGCUAGUUGGUACGGUAACGGCGUACCAAGGCAACGAUGCAUAGCCGACCUGAGAGGAUGAUCGGCCACACUGGAACUGAGACACGGUCCAGACUCCUACGGGAGGCAGCAGUAGGGAAUUUUCGGCAAUGGGCGAAAGCCUGAUGGAGCAACGCCGCGUGAGUGAUGAAGGUCUUCGGAUCGUAAAGCACUGUUAGUAGGGAAGAAAAGAAGUGUAAGUAAAUGUGCGCAUGAUGACGGUACCUAAACAGAAAGCCACGGCUAACUACGUG
rnacentral:rRNA from 1 species